AAGAUACGCAGUCGUCGAUGAAAUAUGCAAAUUUCAUUCAUCCAGUUGUUGCAUCCAAGUCAUGCUUGAAGAGAUGAGGUUUGAAUUUUAGGGUUUCGUGGACAGGCUCCAAUGGCACAAAGAAGGAACCUUGUCGAUCGCUGAGGUGUAGGCGAGAUUCGGUUACUUUUGGAGGUUUGAAGUUGCGGCAACGUGUGAAAUUCUCCCCUUAUUAUGGUUUGAAUCGCCUAUGCUUUUCGAAUUUGUAAUUGGGUUUAGAGUUGGUCGCAACUUUCCAUUCUCAAAUGCCUGCGGUUGCGAGGUUUCAACAAACUCGAUCUUCUAAACCGCUCCCAUUAGCGUAUGAUCUCUCUCCUGUUAAUUUGAGUUCUCGCACGCAAUUGUUUUGAAGUUGUCGUUUGUGGCGUUUGUUCAUACCCAGUUGUUUGCCGCGGAGAGGAAGGCGCGGAGAGCUGCUGAUUCUGACGGAUUGGAGCUGACAGGAGAGGUGCUUUUGUGUAAGGAAGUGGUGCUUCAAGCUGCGAUUGCGGUAAGUUAGAGCGUAUUUUCCUCACCUCUUGAUUGAGUGUCUCAGUUAAUAUUGCAUGUGCUAAUUGAUUGUGCAGCAGCAGAAAGAAUAGUGAGACUGAGCCACUACAUUAGGUCUCUACUUUAGAAACGCUCACAUACAGAAAAAAAUAAUUGAAGGGAAGCUUAAAUGCUGUAAUGGGAUCUAACAGGGUCUAGGUCUGCAUUUGGUCAAUUUUCACAACUAUUUUUUCGCCCUUUUUUUGCCCUUUUUUUGCCCUUUUUCUGUGUAUAGGAAAGUAGUUUUGUGACGUGUUAACUAAUGCGAGGUUUGCAAAUCAGAGUCUUAACUAACAAGCCCACUUUUGAGUUUGUGUCUGAACGUUGACCCUGGGUGGGUAUUGCUGUAUUUCAGUCGCCGUGUACAAAUAUUCCUUCAGACCAAUGAGAAAUAGGGAAAGGAUGAAGUUGACUAUUCAAGCUCAACACUACGAGCCAGCUUUUAAAAGAUGAAAGCAACCGUCGCAGCGCUCUCGACCAUAUCAGUUGGCGAUGGAUUCACAAUCAUCUCCCGCAAAAGGAAUCUAAUUCCUGCAGUACCGCAUUGACUCAUUCCAGGAAUCCAUUUAGCAUGAAUCCAAGGAGCACAACCAGUGAAGCAGACGACACAACCGCAGCUCUGAUUGACAUGAAAGCCCUUCUCCUUUCUGGUCCUUUGAUCCUCUCUCUUUAAUGGGCUCUUGUUCCUUGACACUCACAGCUAUUAUGCCUCUGGUAUUUGGAGCGGCGGCGAAGGCUGCAAUUCCUUUGAAGUCUUUCUCCUCCCUCUACCCCCCACCAGACGGAGCGCAAGACCACAAUAAAAUCUAAAAUUAAAAAACAUUACUCGAGCAACGAACAAAUUCACAACCAAGUCUCGACCAAGGCAGCCGACAUUGCUGUAUCAUGUUUGUCUUCUGCUUUUUUUCAAACACAACCAUAUUGUCCCCUUGCUCCAUUUCGGGUCUCAUCUGCAAGCGGAGCAGUAGUUGUGCCAACUUUCGGACUCGCAUGAGUCCAAUCCUCAGCAGGUCAGCUGUAAAAGAAUCAACCAACGCCGAGUGAACGCACCCAUAAAAGUCGAGUCGUAGCUUGUGGAAUUAAAUGUCUUUAACAGGUUCCUCCUCCCAACUUGUGUGACCUUUCCCACCUACUCAUGUAUGUACAUUCGUGGCAUGUAGAGGGGACACUAGUGCGCAGGUCGCAGGCGAGUUAGGCGACGGGCGAGUAGGUACGAAGUCGAUCCCAAAGUUGGGCUCUGCAAUCGCCAUGGCGUGCGCGUACAGGUUUCCCAGCUCUCUGUGCACAACGAAGUGAGAAGCUUGCAUACG
rnacentral:lncRNA from 1 species